GCAGAUAUCAAAAUUCGCCGAUCCAAUCCAAAAGUUAACGAUAUUUCCGAAUCGCCCUGUAUUCGAAACUAAACCAUUCCGGACGCGUUAAUGUUGUUGGCAUAUAGAAGCAGAUGUGCGGUGUCAGAUAUCUGGAGACACUACGACGAAUAAAAAAUGGCACUACGGCUUGUUUAUAAUAAUAAUAAAACACAUUUUUCAUAUUAAAUCGUUUUCUAUUUAUGGAUGCUAAAAUAAACGUACUGAAAAUAACAA